rnacentral:rRNA from 1 species
UGGAUCCAGACUUUGAUUAUGGCUCAGGACGAACGCUGGCGGCGUGCCUAACACAUGCAAGUCGAACGAGAAGUUCCGAAACAAUCCCUUCGGGGUGCGUUUUGGAAUGGAAAGUGGCGGACGGGCGAGUAACGCGUGAGUAACCUGCCCAUAAGAGGGGGAUAAUCCGUGGAAACGCGGACUAAUACCGCAUAUUGAAUAUUAAUCGCAUGGUUGAUGUUUGAAAGAUUUAUCGCUUAUGGAUGGACUCGCGUCAGAUUAGAUAGUUGGAGAGGUAACGGCUCACCAAGUCGACGAUCUGUAGCCGAACUGAGAGGUUGAUCGGCCGCAUUGGGACUGAGACACGGCCCAGACUCCUACGGGAGGCAGCAGUGGGGAAUAUUGCGCAAUGGGGGGAACCCUGACGCAGCAACGCCGCGUGCAGGAAGAAGGCCUUCGGGUUGUAAACUGUUGUCGCAGGGGAAGAAGACAGUGACGGUACCCUGUGAGAAAGUCACGGCUAACUACGUGCCAGCAGCCGCGGUAAUACGUAGGUGACAAGCGUUGUCCGGAUUUACUGGGUGUAAAGGGCGCGUAGGCGGGAUAGCAAGUCAGCCGUGAAAUGCCGGAGCUUAACUCCGGAGCUGCGGUUGAAACUGUUAUUCUUGAGUAUCGGAGAGGAAAGCGGAAUUCCCAGUGUAGCGGUGAAAUGCGUAGAUAUUGGGAGGAACACCAGUGGCGAAGGCGGCUUUCUGGACGACAACUGACGCUGAGGCGCGAAAGUGUGGGGAGCAAACAGGAUUAGAUACCCUGGUAGUCCACACCGUAAACGAUGGAUACUAGGUGUAGGAGGUAUCGACCCCCUCUGUGCCGCAGUUAACACAAUAAGUAUCCCACCUGGGGAGUACGGCCGCAAGGCUGCAACUCAAAUGAAUUGACGGA